UCCUGUCUAUCUAAUUAUUUGUUGAUUUGUAGUAUCCUUCCUAGGAAAGUGAUGAAGAUGCCCAAAGAGAAGAGCAGAGUGCAGAACCUUUCACAUUGGCACAGGACAGUGAUGAAGAUGUCCAAAGAGAAGAACAGAGUGGAGAACCUUUCACAUUGGCACAGGAAAAUGCCCCUCAAGAAAUACAUGAUGAUAUCCACUCUCAUGGACUAACAGAAGGGCAAAGUUGCAUCUCUAUUUUCUCCAUUACAGUGAGACACAACACUACUGGUGUAUUGAUGGAAGACCUGCUGAAACUUCUGAAGUCACAUUCUGCUGGGACAAAUGCAGUACCAGCAAGCAAGUAUUUUUUGAAAAGACCAAUAGCUGGUAUUAUAGAUCAAUUGAAACGCCAUCAUUACUGCAGAGUAUGUACUAAGUACCUUGGCACUUCACAAUCACAAGAAGAAACACUUACAUGUCUGUCAUGUUCAUCGUCCAUAACAGUAAAAGACAGUUUACAGGAAGGACAUUUCUUUAUCAGUAUUCCAUUAAAGGAUCAACUGAAGGAUGUUCUUGAGAAUCAAGGUAUGCAUGGUUUCUGUUUUCGUCCUGAUGACAGUAGUAGGCAUGUAAUAAGUGAUUUAUGUGAUGGCACCUUAUAUCAGACCUUGAAAUCAAACAUUGAAGAGGAUUUCCUCUCCCUUACAUUUAAUUGUGAUGGUGUACCAGUCUUUCAGUCCUCUAAAUUUAGUAUUUGGCCUAUACUGUGUUGUGUUAAUGAGAUAACCCCUGAGAGUAGAGAUAAGCAUGUGCUUUUAUGUGCUUUAUGGUUUGGAGCAAAAAAGCCACACAUGACCUGCUACUUCCAACCAUUUGUAGAGGAAUGUGCCAAUCUUUCACAAGCUGGCUUUGAGUGGCAACAUCCUAAUGAUCAGUCAUGGAGACACGUGAAGGUGCACCCAUUGUGCCUGUGUGUGUGAUGCAGCAGCAAGGCCAUUACUACAAAAUUUUAAGCAAUUUAAUGGUGAAUAUGGCUGUGGAGUCUGCCUUCACCCUGGGGUGCAGACGAAGAAAGGAAAAGGAAAGUCAAGGGUAUACAAAUGUGCAGAUGAAAAACCAAGUGACAGAAAUCAUAAAACCACAGUAGAGAUAGGAGAAAUUGCUGAAAGAGAAGGGACAGCAAUAUUGGGCAUAAAGGGCCCAUCUGCCAUUGUAGAUUUACCAAACUUUGAUGUAAUCAAUGGGAUGGUCCCUGACUAUAUGUAUUGUGUGUUGCUUGGCGUGGCAACUUUAUGGAUCGAUUCAAAAAACUAUUCUGAGCCAUGGUACAUUGGCACACAAACGGCUAUCUUGGACAGACACCUCUUGUCUAUAAAACCUCCAGGUAUUGUUGCUCGAGUUCCAAGAUCUCUGACUGAACGCAAAUUCUGGAAAGCCCAUGAGUGGCAACACUGGCUUCUGUACUAUAGCUUGCCAGUUCUAAAAGGCAUACUUCCACAGAAGUAUCACUGUCAUUGGGCAUUACUGAUAGAGGGCAUAAGCAUUCUGUUGGGAUCCGAAAUAAAUACAGAACAGAUAAAUCAUGCCCAUGAGGCAUUAGUGUAUUUUGUUGGAGGUGUGCAGUCGCUGUAUGGGGAAGAGCACAUGCCAUUCAAUGUUCAUUCACUUCUGCAUUUGAGCAAAAGUGUUGUGCAUUGUGGUCCUUUGUGGGCACACUCAGCCUUUAUGUUUGAAGAUUUCAAUGGAUACCUCCUGAAACAAGUAAAAAGUAGCCAAGCUGUACCACAACAAAUAUGCAAACGAGUUCUGUUUUCCCAAGCUUUUCCCCGUUUAGCAAAGCAAUUUUUAACAAAUGCACCUGCAGAAGUUACCGAUUUCUGUAAUGAAAUAAGAACCGAAAAGCAUCAUGUCAAGAAGUUUGCGAAGUUCACUGAGGUAACUGCCCUUGGUCCACCAAAUGUAAGAUUAAUGUCUGUUAGUGAUCAAGCUGCCUUACACACAGUGAGAGAGGUUUCCCCAAACUCUGUGGUAAAUUACUACAAGAUGUUCAUGUUCAUGGUCAUACCUACAGCAAAACAAAACAAAGAAACAACUCUAUUGUGCUUUUGAAGGAUGGGAGUAUUUUU